rnacentral:rRNA from 1 species
CCGCGUGAGGAAGAAGUAUUUCGGUAUGUAAAGCUCUAUCAGCAGGAAAGAAAAUGACGGUACCUGACUAAGAAGCCCCGGCUAACUACGUGCCAGCAGCCGCGGUAAUACGUAGGGGGCAAGCGUUAUCCGGAUUUACUGGGUGUAAAGGGAGCGUAGACGGUUUUGCAAGUCUGAAGUGAAAGCCCGGGGCUUAACCCGGGACUGCUUUGGAAACUGUAGAACUAGAGUGCAGGAGAGGUAAGUGGAAUUCCUAGUGUAGCGGUGAAAUGCGUAGAUAUUAGGAGGAACACCAGUGGCGAAGGCGGCUUACUGGACUGUAACUGA